GUAGCUCAGUCGGUAGAGCAGAGGAUUGAAAAUCCUCGUGUCGGUGGUUCGAUUCCGCCU
rnacentral:tRNA from 1 species